UUUUUAGAAAAAUUGAGGAAAAAAAUUGAAAAAAAUUGAAAAAAAAGCAUUAAAAAUCGUAAGAAAAAAAACACCUACUACUCAAGUUUUUUACAUGCUAUUAUGGUAUAAAUAUAUUGAGGAAUUAGGCCAAAAUAAGGUGUUUUUACAAAAAAAAACACUUAAAAAUAGCCUAAAAUUUCAAUUAAUAUAUUAAUUUUUUUUUUUAAUUAAAAUAAAUUAUAAAAAUGUAACAUUUUUAAAAGUAUUUAAUUAAUUGUCUUUUAUAAAAUAAUUUAUAAUCAAAAUUAUGUCUGUAUGUUGGGGGUGGGGGUUGGGCCCCGUCAGGCCUAAACCCCCUUUUCCCCCCCUUAAAAUAAAAUAAAAAUAAGUUUUUGUAUUUUUUAAUAAAAAAUUUUUUAUAUAAAUAUAAUGUAUUGAGAUAUACCUUACCUCAUUUUCUUUUUUUUUAAAAUUAUAGGGAUAGGGAAAUGAGGAUAUAUCUAUCUUAAAGGAUAUAUAUAAAAAU
rnacentral:sRNA from 1 species